ensembl:lncRNA
AAUUUUUAUUAUUGCUGGUUUACAUAACUUGUGUCCUAGAAGAAUAUUAUCAUUACUUUUAUUUUAUUAUGAACGAAAUAUAGAUAAUGAAAGACAACUACUUCCUUUGUUUUAUUUGUUCUCUAAAGAAAUGAUAACUGAUAUUAUCAUUUUGGAGUUAAAAAUCAAAAAUAAUUAUAUAAAAGAAAACGAAAAAAAUGAUUUGAGCAGGUUACAAUAUAUGUAUACAGCAACUGUUAGGGAAAAACGGAUGGACGAAAUGGAUAGCGUGUAUAAUGAUACUGUUGUUCAUAGUAAUAAUACAGGAAACAGUAAUGCUAAUACAAUCAACAUUGACCCUACUAGUAACAACAACGACAACAGAAAUGACAACAGAAAUGACAACAGAAAUGACAACAGAAAUGACAACAGAAAUGACAACAGAAAUGACAAUAGAAAUGACAACAGAAAUGACAACAGAAAUGACAACAGAAAUGACAACAGAAAUGACAACAAAAAUGACAGCAAAAAUGACAACAAAAAUGACAGCAAAAAUGGCAACAAAAAUGACAACAAAAAUGACAACAAAAAUGACAACAAAAAUGACAACAAAAAUGACAACAACAAUGACAACAGUAUUGACACGUUGUUCUUUUUAAAUCCAAAUCAAUUUUUUUCACCUGAAUAUUUCAAAAUGUGUUCUCUUUUAAUAGUAAAUGGUUUACUUAAUUUGAAAGUAUUUUAUUCGAAUAUAUUACCACAUGAUGAUUUACUGUUUAAUACCUUUCGAGAGCUAUACACAAAAUUUGUUUAUGAUUAUGAUAAUAUACAUUCUGACAAAAUAAAUCCUUUUUUUUAUUAUUACAUGCCACAAGACAUUAAUCAGAUGUAUAAUUUAUAUAAUAAGAUGAUUAAUGAUUUGUGUAGUAACAAAAUGAAAAACGCAAAAAGUGCAAACAAGAGUGGUGACACCUUCAGUAAUGAUAAGGAAAAGGAGAAGGAGAAGGAGAAGGAGAAGGACAAAGAUAAAGAUAAGGAUAAGGAUAAGGAUAAGGAUAAAUGUUGGACUGGUGUUGUCGGUCAGGACAAUGCAUCUAAUGAAGUUGGAAUUCCCUGUAGCGGACACAGUGCUAACAGUAUUAAUAAAAAUAACAUGUAUAAUGAAAACAAAUAUAACACGAUGAAUUAUUCUCAAGAUAUACAACGUAUAUUGGAAAAGGGUAAUCCAAACUAUGUAUAUGAUCACAUAAUUAAUUAUAUUUUAAAUAUAAAAAAUAAUAACAUAAAAAAAAAAUAUGCACAUAACACUUAUUUGACAGAUAAGAAAGCCCUUGAGUAUUAUUUAUGGGAUAUAAUUGUUAAUAAUAAUGACAACAUUGAUGAUAAUAACAUUGUUCAUACUAACAAUCUGCGUCACACUCAAAGUUUUGAUAAUUAUCAAAGUGUAGAUCAUAGUAAAAAUACUGUUAAUAAUCAAAGUAUAGAUGACAAUUACCCUAUUGAUCCACAUGAUAAUUUUAUUAAAAGUUAUUUAGAAAGAGAAAUAAUAAUAAGAACGAAAUUAAAAAAUUCAAAAUAUGUAUCUCAUACCAGUUGUUAUAAUUAUUUAUUCGUAAAAGAAGAUAAUUUCUUUUUUAUA